AUGCCACGUGGAGGAGUAUGUCCACGUGGGCGGGUCCCACGGGACGGGUUGUUACAGCUCUAUUGUGCAAUCUGUGGUAGUCGGCAUCGCCAACAGAUUAUUAUGUAUUUUGUUAGUGGGAUUGAGGUCGGUUAAUUCCGUGGACCGUACUUCUUUAUCACCUCGUUAGGGGCCAACAUCUCUAUCGAGUAUAUUAUGUAAAUAUUCUGUCAGUAUAUGGUUUGGGUCGACUAAUGCUG